UACAGAGGGUGCGAGCGUUAAUCGGAGUUACUGGGUGUAAAGGGCGCGUAGGCGGCAUGAUGUGUGUGAUGUGAAAGCCCCGGGCUUAACCUGGGAAGCGCAUUGCAGACUGUCGAGCUGGAGUACAUGAGAGGGUGGCGGAAUUUCCGGUGUAGCGGUGAAAUGCGUAGAGAUCGGAAGGAACGUCAAUGGCGAAGGCAGCCACCUGGCAUGAUACUGACGCUGAGGCGCGAAAGCGUGGGGAGCGAACAGG
rnacentral:rRNA from 1 species